AGUCGAGGGGCAGCGGGGGCGGAAGCUUGCUUUCGCCCGCCGGCGACCGGCGCACGGGUGAGUAACACGUAUGCAACCUGGCCGCCACAGGGGGAUAACCCGCGGAAACGCGGCCUAAUACCCCGUGACGCCACCGGAGGGCAUCCUCCGGUGGCCAAAGGAGCGAUCCGGUGGCGGAUGGGCAUGCGGCGCAUUAGCUAGACGGCGGGGUGACGGCCCACCGUGGCGACGAUGCGUAGGGGUUCUGAGAGGAAGGCCCCCCACACUGGGACUGAGACACGGCCCAGACUCUUACGGGAGGCAGCAGUGAGGAAUAUUGGUCAAUGGGCGGAAGCCUGAACCAGCCAAGUCGCGUGAGGGAUUAAGGCCCUGCGGGUCGUAAACCUCUUUUGCCGGGGAGCAGUGGUCCGGACGCGUCCGGGCCGGGAGAGUACCCGGAGAAAAAGCAUCGGCUAACUCCGUGCCAGCAGCCGCGGUAAUACGGAGGAUGCGAGCGUUAUCCGGAUUUAUUGGGUUUAAAGGGUGCGUAGGCGGGCAUUUAAGCCGGCGGUCAAAUGUCGGGGCUCAACCCCGGCCUGCCGUCGGAACUGGGUGCCUUGAGUGGGCGAGAAGUAUGCGGAAUGCGUGGUGUAGCGGUGAAAUGCAUAGAUAUCACGCAGAACCCCGAUUGCGAAGGCAGCAUACCGGCGCCCUACUGACGCUGAGGCACGAAAGUGCGGGUAUCGAACAGGAUUAGAUACCCUGGUAGUCCGC
rnacentral:rRNA from 1 species